rnacentral:tRNA from 1 species
GUCCUUGUAGCUUACACAAAGCAUGAUGCUGAAGACGUCAAGACGGCUGCCACAAACACCCAAGGACA